rnacentral:rRNA from 1 species
ACGGCUCAGUAACACGUCGAUAAUCUACCUUUGAGUCUGGAAUAACCUUGGGAAACUGAGGCUAAGACCGGAUAGGGAAAUUGUUCUGGAAAUGAUUUUUUCCGAAAAGGCAACGCUCAAAGAUGAGUCGGCGGCGGAUUAGGCUGUUGGCGGGGUAAUGGCCCACCAAACCUGAGAUCCGUAAGGGCCCUGGGAGGGGUAGCCCUGAGAAGGACACUGCGAUACUGGUCCUAGCCCUACGGGGUGCAGCAGGCGCGAAAACUUUACAAUGCACGCAAGUGUGAUAAGGGAAUCCUAAGUGCUUAUACUUUUGUAUAGGCUUUUGCCAUGAGCAAAAAUCAUGGCGGAUAAGUGGUGGGUAAGACUGGUGCCAGCCGCCGCGGUAACCCCAGCGCCACAAGUGGCAACCGUCAUUAUUGGGCCUAAAGCGUCCGUAGCCGGUUUGUCAAAUCUCUUGUGAAAUUGUGAGGCUUAACCUUACAACGUGCAGGAGACACUAACAAACUUGGAACCGGGAGGGGUCAGAAGUAUGCCUGGGGGAGCGGUAAAAUGUUAUAAUCCCAGGUAGACUACCUAUGGCGAAGGCAUCUGACCAGAACGGAUUCGACGGUGAGGGACGAAAGCUAGGGGAGCAAAACGGAUUAGAUACCCGAGUAGUCCUAGCUGUAAACUCUGCGAACUAGGUGUUGCAUAUUCUUCGUGAAUAUGCGGUGUCGAAACGAAGGUGAUAAGC